rnacentral:rRNA from 1 species
AACCAGCACCUCAAGUGGUCAGGAUGAUUAUUGGGCCUAAAGCAUCCGUAGCCUGUUCUGUAAGUUUUCGGUUAAAUCUAUGCGCUCAACGUAUAGGCUGCCGAAAAUACUGCAGAACUAGGGAGUGGGAGAGGUAGACGGUACUCGGUAGGAAGGGGUAAAAUCCUUUGAUCUAUUGAUGACCACCUGUGGCGAAGGCGGUCUACCAGAACACGUUCGACGGUGAGGUACGAAAGCGUGGGUAGCAAACAGG